rnacentral:rRNA from 2 species
UACGUAGAGGGCAAGCGUUGUCCGGAAUUACUGGGCGUAAAGGGUACGCAGGCGGAUAUAUAAGUCAAAUGUGAAAGGCACCGGCUCAACCGGUGAGCGGCAUUUGAAACUGUAUAUCUUGAGUUCAGGAGAGGAGAGCGGAAUUCCUGGUGUAGCGGUGGAAUGCGUAGAUAUCAGGAAGAACACCAGUGGCGAAGGCGGCUCUCUGGCCUGAAACUGACGCUCAGGUACGAAAGCUGGGGGAGCGAACGGG